UACAGAGGGGGGCAAGCGUUGUUCGGAAUUACUGGGCGUAAAGGGCGCGUAGGCGGCCUGUUAAGUCGAACGUGAAAUCCCCGGGCUCAACCCGGGAACUGCGUCCGAUACUGGCAGGCUUGAAUCCGGGAGAGGGAUGCGGAAUUCCAGGUGUAGCGGUGAAAUGCGUAGAUAUCUGGAGGAACACCGGUGGCGAAGGCGGCAUCCUGGACCGGCAUUGACGCUGAGGCGCGAAAGCCAGGGGAGCAAACAGG
rnacentral:rRNA from 1 species